rnacentral:lncRNA from 1 species
GCGGCCAGCUGGCACCGCCCCGUCGGGCGGCCAGCGCAUCCCUGAGGCCGCACCGCGCGGGUGGCCCGGGCGGCGACGACGGGGGCGGGGGGGCGCGGCGGCCUCCCGGAUGCUUGCGGCAGAAGGCGCUGGUGUACCCCUAUCAUGGGCAGCAACCCCUUGGGAAGAGCUGAAGACCAGCCAGGGGAGAGGGAAAAAAAAAAGCACAGAACACAUGCUGGUUCCAGAUUCCUGGCAAGAAUCAGAGCGCCUGUGCUGUGCUGAAAGCCGGGCCAAGCACAGAGCAGCAGAGGCCGCUUGGAGCAGCUGCUGUCGACUUCCGCCUCGCUGGACAGCAUCCCUUCAGAUCCAUCUUUUCAAGUUAAGCGGUCCAAGGGGUGGUAUCAGAAUUGCAGUGGACACCUGACAAGACCCCCCCCCAGGAGGGUGCAUUGUCCUAAUAAAGGGCAUACCUGACUGUCCCCAGGAAACUGUGGCCAGGACACUGCUGAUCUGCUUGCUGUCAUCUCUCGUGUGGUUCUUGGGUGUCUCUUCAGAACAUGCUCCGAGGCUCCUCUUACGUUUCCCUGCAAAGAACCCUUGUAAGGGGGCUGCCUACACAUGGCCUGCAUCUCUCGUUUCUACCAUUGAGUUAGGUAAGGCAUCCUCAAGCCCCACAGCUGAAAAACUUAUUCGUGUGUCCACUGCAAAGCCACCGACUGUCCACGAGGCCUGGCUCAGAGGCCUCCCUUGCAGAAGGGAGGUUCCGCCAGUGAUGAGCGGGCGCGUCCCGCUGGCAGAGAAAGCUCUGUCUGAAAGCUAUGCCCGGCUUCGAUACAGAGACACCUCCUUGCUCAUUUGGCAACAGCAGCAGCAGAAGUUGGAAUCUGUGCCACCUGGGACGUACCUGAGCCGGAGCCGAAGCAUGUGGUACUCUCAGUACGGGAACGAGGCCAUCCUUGUCCGGGACAGAAACAAGCUGGAGGUCUCCCGGGACACGGGCCAGUCCAAGUUUUGCUCUGUUAUGUAACUUCUGGUGUGAAAAGCGAGCCCAGGCGCCGCCCUGUCUCCACCUCCAGCCCUUGCCCGGAGGUCCUGGCUGUGAACGUGAAGGCUGAGCUGCAGCGGAAGGACCCCAGGAUGCCAGGGAUGGCGCCCCAGCCCAUUUGCAGUCAGGGUGACUGGUGGACUUGGCUUCUGGCCUCCAUUUUGAGCUUCCGGGCGCUGCGGGCACAGCCCAGGCUGGGGCACGACGGGAUGCCACUCUGCUUAUGCUUCCAAAUAAAGCAAGCAAGAGGGACGUCCAGUCACACAACCUUUUCACAUUCUUACAGGUUGUUUUAGUGUCCGCUCUGCCUGGUACAGAAUGGGUCAGGGGACUCCCCGUCGUGGCUCCGUGGUAACGAACCUGACUAGGAUCCAUGAGGAUGAGGGUUCAAUCCUUGGACCCCCUGAGUGGGUGGAGGAUCCGGCAUUGCCGUGAGCUGUGGCGUAAGUUGCAGACGUGGCUUAGAUCUGGCGUGGCUGUGGCCGUGGUGUAGGCCAGCAGCUGCAGCUCCAAUUUGACCCCUAGCCUGGGAACGCCCAUAUGCCACGGGUGCGGCCCUAAAAAGACCAAAAAAAAAAAAAAAGAAAAAAA